UCCUGAAGCAAUGGCUGUUGAACAAGCACUAGUUUUAAGCAUCCAGGCUUAUGUUGAUGCAGUACUUGACCUAGCAUCACAUUUCAUAACACGGUUGCGACGUUAUGCUAGUUUCUGCCGCACGUUGGCAAGCCAUGGUAAUCGCAAUAUGGUGGCUAGUCCUACUCAAAAUUCUGCCUCACCUGCUACAAGUCAGGGUGGUCAAGGUGGUACUGCUAGUUCAACCGGAAGCACUCAGAUGCAAGCAUGGGUACAAGGAGCUAUUGCUAAGAUUAGCAACAGCACUGACGGAGUUUCAAAUUCAGCUCCAAACACUAUAAGUGGUCCUUCCUCCUUUAUGCCAAUAAGUAUUAACACAGGAACUUUUCCGGGAACUCCAGCAGUUAGGCUCAUCGGGGACUGUCAUUUUCUUCAUAGGUUGUGCCAACUUUUACUGUUCUGUUUUUUCUUUUGGCGAACGCAGCUACCUCGCUUUAUUGGGGGUGCUCAGAGAAAUUCCGAUACAAAUAUGCAAAAACCUCAUCUUGGUGCUCCAGGCAAGGUCGAAGAGAUCAACUCUGUCCCUACAAAACCAACACCUGGAAUGGCCAGAUCGGAAGAAGUGCAGGCAGCUCGGGGUGGUCAAGCCAUAUCUGGAACAAAAGUACCUGAAGAAGGUCCUGCUGGCCGAUCAAGAUUGGGUUCUGGUAAUGCUGGACAAGGCUACACAUUUGAGGAGGUGAAGGUCCUCUUCCUUAUACUUAUGGAUCUCUGUCGGCGAACAGCCGGUAUGGUACACCCCUUACCAGUUUCUCAGGUGGGAAGCAGCAACAUCCAGGUCCGCCUGCAUUAUAUUGAUGGUAACUAUAUCGUCUCGCCAGAAGUUGUGGAAGCAUCCCUCGGCCCACAUAUGCAGAAUAUGCCACGGCCUCGAGGUGCUGAUGCUGCUGGUCUAUUACUCCGUGAGUUGGAACUCCAUCCUCCAGCUGAAGAAUGGCACCGGAGAAACAUGUUUGGUGGGCCCUGGUCUGAUCUAGAUGAUAUGUGCCCUGCUGAUGAUCCUUCCAAACUUAGCACUUCCUCUGACCCACUAAAGCUGAACUCAUUGGAAAGCUAUGAUAUUUAUUAUGGGGCUAAUGGGUUGUGGCCAAGGAAGCGCAGAAUGUCAGAAAGGGAUGCAGCUUUUGGCUUAAACACUUCUGUGGGCCUGGGGGCAUAUCUUGGUAUAAUGGGAUCUCGAAGAGAUGUCGUAACUGCUGUAUGGAAGACUGGUCUUGAUGGAGUUUGGUACAAGUGCAUAAGAUGUUUACGACAAACGUCAGCUUUUGCUUCACCAGGUUCCAGCAGUUCACCUAAUCAGAAUGAGAGGGAAAUGUGGUGGAUUAGCCGCUGGGCUCAUGGCUGUCCAAUGUGUGGUGGGACAUGGGUUCGAGUUGUAUAGAGGGCUACAUUGACCAUUUCUGUUAUCAAGUAGGUUUUCUUGUUCUCUGUUAUGAUCAGAAAUUCUGGGCUGGAUAUGCAUGUGGUAGACUAGAAACAAAAUAGGAAGGACAAAUGGAAGUCAAAAGUCAUCUCAUCUAUGUGAUCUGAUUGCCGAUUCUGGACAAUGCUACUUCAAUUUUCUUCUAGUGUUUUGGCAGAUAAGAUAAUGGUUUUAGUUACUCCAACUAGUUGGCAAGAACUCAGUAUGCAAAAGUGGAGGUAUCGGGUUUGAAAAUCUUUUCCCUUCAGGUUGUAUAUGCUUGUUUGUAAGCCUCAUUGAAUUGAUUCCACAGUUACUAUGUCGGAAAUUCUGUAAGGCUCUGCCUGAUCUUAAAUCAGCUUGAUAUUUUUUUGCUCAGCAGUAGCCGCUUAAAGUUAAUUGACCAGUUCAAUCGGGAGCAAGGCUAAGAGUUAUGUAUUUCUACCAAACAUUACCUAGAUAUAUGAUGUUGAUGUUGUGCAAUGCCCAAUCUCAAAUUUUAUUUUUUUAUUUUUUAUUUUGUUUUUGUUGUUGUUGUUGGAGAUUCACGGUUACGGGAUGACGGUUUCUUCCUAAAUGUGAAUAAAUAGGGUGUGGAUUUGGAUGUAAUAGCAUGUAAUUGGAAUCAUCUGGAAUAUAGUUGUCUGGUGUACUUGGUGCUUUCUCAAAACAGUUAUGUUUGACAUGAUCAAACAUUACUUGCCCCUCUUUUUCUUCUC